UCUAUAAUCAUCAACAGAAAUUCGUUAAAAGUAUAUCAAAUCCAGAAUAAACACCGUUCAGUCAAUCACCAAACUCAAUCGAUAACUGAGUUCUCGGUAAUUGGCAAGGAUUGUUUAAACGAUGGAUCUUUAAAAAGACAAAAGCAGAGUAGAAGACAAACUUGACAGAGAUUUAAAAAAGUUAAGUCUGACCUGAGAUAUAAUCAUAUUACAUAUGUUCACAUCAACACAGAUUAUUUCCUUGUUCUUAAUUUUUUUUUUGUCAUUUCAUCUCAUAUAUUGAUAGGUCAUUGAUAAAGGCUGUAUGCCAUAGAAACUGGGAAAUACAGCAUUGGAACAAUUCACAAAACAAACUACAGAAACAAAGAUUGGGAACGCAGCCGAUGACCAUCAUCUUCAAAGCGAGGUUGAUGCUUUCUUUUCAUCCUGUUCAUAGAAGGGCUAUGUUAGCAGAAACUCUUCGUAUUAAAGACAGCAUAUGGAAAAUACACGGAUGCAAAUAUGGAUUUAUCAAACAAUCUACAUUAGCUGAUUUACUAAAGGGAGUUCAACAACAGCUUAUUAAAAAAAUUAUCCUCAUCUUUGAGGGUGGAAUUGGUGACGUUGGAGUUGCUGAGGAUCGACAUUUUGUACUUAUGACUCGUCGGUCGGUACUUUCCGGCAGCUGCGGUUAGUGAGAAAUUCUCAAUGAACCUCCAUUGUCCAAGCUGAAGUUUCUUAACACGAGCAAAGAAGAGUCUCUUGCAGGACUUUAACUUCGACCUUCCAAGAUGUUUUGUAUGGUUUGACAUCAUUGAGCAAAGUGAUAGUCGGGUCUGAGGUUUAAUGAUAGCGUGCUGAAGAUUUGAUUCGAUUUCCAU